UGGGAGCAAUUAAUGUGAUUGGAUGACCUGUUUAAUUGUUUGUGAGUACGAGGAAACUGCAUGCAGUAAUUGAGCAGGUUAUGGUGGAUCAUCUGUCAAGCUCACCCAGCGCUGUCAUUAGAACAGAAUGCUGUGUCUGUCAGUCCCAUGAGUGUCCCUCCACGCUACAGGAGAACUCUUCCCCACACUAAAGAAAAAAUCUCAGAAGUCUUUAAUGGAGAACAACUUAUCCAACAAUUAUCGUGCAUGGUGCUUGAACAGAGGGAGGCUGUACUGCCUGCAGGACAUCUCACAGGGUGCCGAGCUUCAUUUCUGAGCAGACGGCCCACACCUACCUCCCACAAAGUCUGAGACAGCAGCCGUGCCUGACCCUCAGAGUUACUGAUGUGGAUAACACAGCCAAGGGAGCCCUGCUGUAUGUUCCCCACACACACACACACAUGCGCGUGCGAGAGGACCCAAAGUGUUUUUUUUUUUUUUUGGCACAGAACACAGUCUGGGGAAACUUUACAUAGUCUCUCUGAAUAGGAAAUCAAUGCUCUAAAGGAAAAUAAAGGUAAUAACUUAGCACAAGCCUUUUUCUUACACACAAAAAUGUUUUAUUAAAAUGCAUAAAUAUUCACCCAGAAUGUUUCUUACCCACACAAACCUGUUCAUAAAGUGAUGUCAUUUUGAAUGUAAAAAUUGGAGCUGUCAAAUUUUUUUAAUCAGAUUAAUUGCAUCAUGCAUGCAUGACGUGCCAAUUGGUAAGGUUGGUAAGAUUUUUACACGUUUUUUAAAUAAGUUGCUUGUGUUCAAACAUAAAAACAGUAAUUGUUUUAAUAUUUAAUAUAUUACAUUUAAAAAGUAAUUUAUUCCUGUAUUUUCAGCAUAAUUACUAAAUGUUCAAGUCGUGCUUCACAUUUUUUAUAUUUACAUAUUUUUGUGGAAUCUUUUCUAAAUAGAAAAUAUAAAUAUAUUUAUUGACACUUUUGAUUAUAGUUUAAUGCAUAAAUGAAUGUACACAUA